UAAGACCUCGCGUUAAUGGAGUGGCCGAUAUCUGAUUAGCUAGUUGGUGAGGUAAAGGCUCACCAAGGCGACGAUCAGUAGCUGGUCUGAGAGGACGACCAGCCACACUGGAACUGAGACACGGUCCAGACUCCUACGGGAGGCAGCAGUGGGGAAUUUUGGACAAUGGGCGCAAGCCUGAUCCAGCCAUUCCGCGUGAGUGAAGAAGGCCUUCGGGUUGUAAAGCUCUUUCGCAAGGGAAGAAAACUUACUCAAUAACACUGGGUGAGGCUGACGGUACCUUGAUAAGAAGCACCGGCUAACUACGUGCCAGCAGCCGCGGUAAUACGUAGGGUGCGAGCGUUAAUCGGAAUUACUGGGCGUAAAGCGUGCGCAGGCGGUUUUGUAAGUCAGAUGUGAAAGCCCCGGGCUCAACCUGGGAACUGCGUUUGAAACUACAAGGCUAGCGCUUAACCUGGGAACUG
rnacentral:rRNA from 1 species